rnacentral:rRNA from 1 species
CAGUAGCCGCGGUAAUACGUAGGGUGCGAGCGUUAAUCGGAAUUACUGGGCGUAAAGCGUGCGCAGGCGGUCCGCUAAGACAGAUGUGAAAUCCCCGGGCUUAACCUGGGAACUGCAUUUUGUGACUGGCGGGCUAGAGUAUGGCAGAGGGGGGUAGAAUUCCACGUGUAGCAGUGAAAUGCGUAGAGAUGUGGAGGAAUACCGAUGGCGAAGGCAGCCCCCUGGGCCAAUACUGACGCUCAUGCACAAAAGCGUGGGGAGCAAACAGGAUUAGAUACCCGAGUAGUCCCUGUCUCUUAUA